GUAGACGCGAAACCGUGUGAUCUACCCAUGGGCAGGUUGAAGCUUUGUUAACCCAAAGUGGAGGACCGAACCCGUUGACGUUGAAAAGUCUUGGGAUGACCUGUGGGUAGGGGUGAAAGGCCAAUCAAACUCGGAAAUAGCUCGUACUCCCCGAAAUGCAUUUAGGUGCAGCGUUUAACUAGUUUUAUAGAGGUAGAGCUACUGAUUGGAUGCGGGGGCUUCACCGCCUACCAAUUCCUGACAAACUCCGAAUGCUAUAAAAUGUUGUUGAGCAGUGAGGGCAUGGGUGCUAAGGUCCAUGUCCGAGAGGGAAAGAACCCAGAUCAUCAGCUAAGGUCCCCAAGUGUAUGCUAAGUUGACAAAACGCGGUAAAACUGCAUUGACAGCCAGGAUGUUGGCUUGGAAGCAGCCAUUCAUUUAAAGAGUGCGUAACAGCUCACUGGUCGAGCGGUUUUGCAUGGAUAAUAAUCGGGCAUAAGUAUACCACCGAAGCUAUGACUUUGUCUUAUGACAAGGGGUAGGGGAGCAUUCUAUGGGCAUUGAAGGUGCUGGCGUGAGCCGUGCUGGAGCGCAUAGAAACGAAAAUGUAGGCAUAAGUAACGAUAAUGCGGGCGAGAAACCCGCACGCCGAAAGACCAAGGUUUCCCCAGCUAUGCUAAUCAGCUGGGGGUCAGUCGGGACCUAACGCGAACCCGAACGGGGUAGUGGAUGGACAAUCAGUUAAUAUUCUGAUACCUGCUCACAUUAAAAGUGACGGGGAUGAGGCGUUGGUGCGAAGAGACGGAAUUCUUCGUUGAAGGUAGCGGAAGCUACUGAUAGUACACUGAGGCUUCGGCCAAGGUGAUAAUCCAGCUUAUCAUCCUCCAAGAAAAACAAGUGAAGCAGCCCGUACCGUAAACCGACACAGGUGGUUGGGAUGAGUAUUCUAAGGCGCUCGAGAGAUUCAUGGCUAAGGAACUAGGCAAAAUAGACCCGUAACUUCGGGAGAAGGGUCGCCCCCUUAUGGGGGGCCGCAGUGAAGAGGUCCAGGCGACUGUUUAUCAAAAACACAGGGCUCUGCUAAAUCGAAAGAUGACGUAUAGGGCCUGACACCUGCCCGGUGCUGGAAGGUUAAGAGGAGAUGUUAUUUUUCGGAAGAAGCAUUGAAUUGAAGCCCCAGUAAACGGCGGCCGUAACUAUAACGGUCCUAAGGUAGCGAAAUUCCUUGUCGGGUAAGUUCCGACCUGCACGAAUGGUGCAACGAUCUGGACACUGUCUCGGCCAUGAGCUCGGUGAAAUUGUAGUAACGGUGAAGAUGCCGUUUACCCGCAGUGGGACGAAAAGACCCCGUGCACCUUUACUAUAGCUUCGUAUUGACCCUGGAUAAGUAAUGUGUAGGAUAGCUAGGAGACUUUGAAGCGGCGUCGCCAGGCGUUGUGGAGUCAUUGUUGAAAUACUAGCCUUUGCUUAUUUGGGGCCUAACUCUCGAGAGAGAGAACAGUGCGUGGUGGGUAGUUUGACUGGGGUGGUCGCCUCCAAAAGAGUAACGGAGGCUUCUAAAGGUGCCCUCAAUACGGUUGGUAAUCGUGUGUAGAGUGCAAUGGCACAAGGGC
rnacentral:rRNA from 1 species